CAGUCGCCACGGGAAUACGAAGGGUGCAAGCGUUACUCGGAAUUACUGGGCGUAAAGCGUGCGUAGGUGGUGGUUUAAGUCCGUUGUGAAAGCCCUGGGCUCAACCUGGGAAUUGCAGUGGAUACUGGGUCACUAGAGUGUGGUAGAGGAUAGUGGAAUUUCCGGUGUAGCAGUGAAAUGCGUAGAGAUCGGAAGGAACAUCUGUGGCGAAGGCGACUAUCUGGGCCAACACUGACACUGAGGCACGAAAGCGUGGGGAGCAAACAGGAUUAGAUACCCGAGUAGUCCAUGUCUCUUAUAA
rnacentral:rRNA from 1 species